GUCUGUCUGUAGAUGUAGACAGUCUAGCCUGCCCACUGAUAAAGUUUUUAAAGGGCCGCGGUAUUCUGACCGUGCAAAGGUAGCAUAAUCGUUAGUUUCUUAAUUGGGAUCUUGUAUGAAUGGCUGGACAAAAGAGGGUCUGUCUUUGUAGUUAAGAUAGAAGUUAACUUUUAAGUGAGAAGGCUUAAAUGAGUUAAAGGGACGAUAAGACCCUAUAAAGCUUUAUAUGAUGCUGUAGUAAUCUGAAUUUUUAAAGUAAUAAAGGGUUAUUACAAAAGUCUUAUUGCAUUGGGGCGAUGAAAGUAAAAUGAAUAGUAACUGCUUUAUUUUUGGACAAAGAAUAAGUGAUUAGAGGAGUAUUUAAAAGAUCCUCUUUGGGGAUUUUAAGAUCAAGUUACUUUAGGGAUAACAGCGUUAUUUUCUUUGAGAGUUCUUAUCGAAAAGAAAGUUUGCGACCUCGAUGUUGAAUUAAAAGUUCUUUAUAAUUGCAGAAGUUAUAAGAGAAGGUCUGUUCGACCUUUAAAUUUUUACAUGAUUUGAGUUCAGACCGGCGUAAG
rnacentral:rRNA from 1 species